rnacentral:rRNA from 1 species
GAUGAACGCUGGCGGCGUGCCUAAUACAUGCAAGUCGAGCGAACGGACGAGAAGCUUGCUUCUCUGAUGUUAGCGGCGGACGGGUGAGUAACACGUGGAUAACCUACCUAUAAGACUGGGAUAACUUCGGGAAACCGGAGCUAAUACCGGAUGAUAUUUUGAACCGCAUGGUUCAAAAGUGAAAGACGGUCUUGCCGUCACUUAUAGAUGGAUCCGCGCUGCAUUAUCUAGUUGGUAAGGUAACGGCUUACCAAGGCAACGAUGCAUAGCCGACCUGAGAGGGUGAUCGGCCACACUGGAACUGAGACACGGUCCAGACUCCUACGGGAGGCAGCAGUAGGGAAUCUUCCGCAAUGGGCGAAAGCCUGACGGAGCAACGCCGCGUGAGUGAUGAAGGUCUUCGGAUCGUAAAACUCUGUUAUUAGGGAAGAACAUAUGUGUAAGUAACUGUGCACAUCUUGACGGUACCUAAUCAGAAAGCCACGGCUAACUACGUG